rnacentral:lncRNA from 1 species
AUGGGAUUCCUGUUUCCCAGAUGCCCAGCAGGCAGCCCUCCAGCUCAGCGCUGCCAGCCCUUCUGCACCGAGGGCUGGUGCUGGGAUCACAGAGGGGCAAGAUCAGGUCAGGCUCUGGCUUCACGCAGUCUGGGGUCCUGCCCGGGCCAGGGCCAGAGCCAGCAGCUGAGCAGGCAGCAGCCAGAAGCCCUUCUCCAGCUGCCCUGGCCCUUCCUGCCCUGCUUGCUGCAGCUUUGCAGGGCUUCCAACUGCACUCAGGUUGGCUGGAAGCAGACUUUGACUGAGGUUGAUGUGCAAGGUCUUGGGCUGGUCCUCAGGCAUCAUUUAGCACGAACCAUGCUCAAUUCUGUUGCUGGUAACUUGCUCCCUGCGGGGGGAAUCAGAGGUACCCCUGGCUCUGCAGGUCUGCGUGAGCAAACAGCCCCUCUGCGAGCACAAUGUGGGCGUGCAGGAGUGGUUCGCUCCCCUGGGUGGCAGCUCCCUAUGCUUAAAAUACAGAUUAAUAAUUAUCCUCCCAGGCUCCACGCAGCUGUAAUCUGUCCAAGCCAGGGGCUGCCUGGGCUCGCUGCUGCAACCAUCCCUGCAGUGUUGCCAAAACGCACAGGAGGGGGCCGGGGCAGUCCCUGGCUGCCCUCUGCCCCGUGCUGUUGGCUGUGCUGGGGUUAUCCUGGGCCUCUGCUUGGGUCCAGCCGUGCUGGGCUGCACCUUACUCGGUGUGUGCAUCCCAUCCGUGACGAACCGAGUUCCUGGAGCCUGGGAGCACCCCGGGGAGCUCCUGUCCUGCACUUGGCAGGAUCUGGGCCACAGCUAGAGGGGAGAAGGGGGCCAGGAUACAGCCAGGAUACCGGGACAGGUCCUCGCCCCUCUCCAUGCACCUCUGCACCUUUUGCUCAAAAAACUGCAACCCUCUGUGAGACCAGCACGGCCCGGCCAUGUCCUUGGCAGGUUUGUGCCAGCAUAGGUUUUCUCCCAUAUUCUUCCUUUCCUCCAGCAGCACUGCCAAAGAGGUUGGGCAGCAUCCUGAAAGGCGAGCUUGUGCUGAAACGGGAGCUGGGCUUUCAGCAGGUCUGA